UGAUCAGGAGCUUGCUCCUGUGAUUAGUGGCGAACGGGUGAGUAACACGUGAGUAACCUGCCCCUGACUCUGGGAUAAGCGUUGGAAACGACGUCUAAUACUGGAUAUGAUCACUGGCCGCAUGGUCUGGUGGUGGAAAGAUUUUUUGGUUGGGGAUGGACUCGCGGCCUAUCAGCUUGUUGGUGAGGUAAUGGCUCACCAAGGCGACGACGGGUAGCCGGCCUGAGAGGGUGACCGGCCACACUGGGACUGAGACACGGCCCAGACUCCUACGGGAGGCAGCAGUGGGGAAUAUUGCACAAUGGGCGAAAGCCUGAUGCAGCAACGCCGCGUGAGGGAUGACGGCCUUCGGGUUGUAAACCUCUUUUAGUAGGGAAGAAGCGAAAGUGACGGUACCUGCAGAAAAAGCACCGGCUAACUACGUGCCAGCAGCCGCGGUAAUACGUAGGGUGCAAGCGUUGUCCGGAAUUAUUGGGCGUAAAGAGCUCGUAGGCGGUUUGUCGCGUCUGCUGUGAAAUCCCGAGGCUCAACCUCGGGCUUGCAGUGGGUACGGGCAGACUAGAGUGCGGUAGGGGAGAUUGGAAUUCCUGGUGUAGCGGUGGAAUGCGCAGAUAUCAGGAGGAACACCGAUGGCGAAGGCAGAUCUCUGGGCCGUAACUGACGCUGAGGAGCGAAAGCGUGGGGAGCGAACAGGAUUAGAUACCCUGGUAGUCCACGCCGUAAACGUUGGGCGCUAGAUGUAGGGACCUUUCCACGGUUUCUG
rnacentral:rRNA from 1 species